CCUACGGGUGGCAGCAGUGAGGAAUAUUGGUCAAUGGCCGUAAGGCUGAACCAGCCAAGUAGCGUGAGGGAAGACUGCCCUAUGGGUUGUAAACCUCUUUUAUGCGGGGAUAAAGGGGGCCACGUGUGGAGGUUUGCAGGUACCGCAUGAAUAAGGACCGGCUAAGUCCGUGCCAGCAGCCGCGGUAAUACGGAGGAGCCGAGCGUUAUCCGGAUUUAUUGGGUUUACAGGGAGCGUAGAUGGGUUGUUAAGUCAGUUGUGACAGUUUGCGGCUCAACCGUAAAAUUGAACUUGAUACUGGCAGUCUUGAGUACAGUUGAUGUCGUCGUCAUUCGUGUUGUAGCGG
rnacentral:rRNA from 1 species